GACGAACGCUGGCGGCGUGCUUAACACAUGCCAGUCGAACGGGCCUUGUCCCCUUUUUUUUUGGGGGUGGGGUUAGUGGCGAACGGGUGAGUAACACGUGAGUAACCUGCCCCUCACUUCUGGAUAACCGCUUGAAAGGGUGGCUAAUACGGGGUGUUCUGGCCUGCUCGCAUGGGUGGGUUUGGAAAGAUUCGACCGGUUUGGUUGUUUUUGUGGGGGAUGGGCUCGCGGCCUAUCAGCUUGUUGGUGGGGUGAUGGCCUGCCAAGGCUUUGACGGGUAGCCGGCCUGAGAGGGUGGGCGGUCACACUGGGACUGAGACACGGCCCAGACUCCUACGGGAGGCAGCAGUGGGGAAUAUUGCACAAUGGGCGCAAGCCUGAUGCAGCGACGCCGCGUGAGGGAUGGAGGCCUUCGGGUUGUGAACCUCUUUCGCCAGUGAAGAAGGUCCUGCUCUUUGUGGUGGGGUUGACGGUAGCUGGGUUAAUGAAGCGCCGGCUAACUACGUG
rnacentral:rRNA from 1 species